rnacentral:tRNA from 1 species
CCCCCCAUAGCCCAAUUGGCAGAGGCAGGGGACUUAAAAUCCUCAAAGUGUGGGUUCGAGUCCCACUGGGGGGACCA